CUGGGAUAGGAGGAGGAGGAAUUUGCUCUUACCCAAUAAAGUAUAUGGGUCCCAUCUGAUAGUGGCUUAAACCCCGGACUUUGCUGAAAGCUUCAGUUCCCCUCCUGCCCAGGCUGGUUCUUUGUGCAGGAGCAGCUGCUACUGCUUCUGGAGAUAGCUUGUUGCAGAGCUUGGCGUGCUCUGCUCUCCUCAUCCUUCUGUUGAUCUCCCCUUUGGCACCUUUGGCUGCACCACCUGCAGAAGCAGCUGGAGGAUGGGGGGCAUUGUCCUGUGCAGAAUUUGUAUCCCAGCUGGGUACAGUGGUGCACACCUGUCAUCUCAGCAUUGGGAAGGCUGAGCAAGGAAGAUUGUGAGUUCAGAGCCAACCUGGAUUAUAUAGCGAUACCUUGUCUGAGG
rnacentral:lncRNA from 1 species